GAUGAACGCUGGCGGCGUGCCUAAUACAUGCAAGUCGAGCGAACAGACGAGGAGCUUGCUCCUCUGACGUUAGCGGCGGACGGGAGAGCAACACGUGGAUAACCUACCUAUAAGACUGGGAUAACUACGGGAAACCGGAGACAAUACCGGAUAAUAUAUUGAACCACAUGGUUAAAUAGUGAAAGACGGUUUUGCUGUCACUUAUAGAUGGAUCCGCGCCGCAUUAGCUAGUGGGUAAGGGAACGGCUUACCAAGGCAACGAUACGUAUCCGACCGGAGAGGGUGAUCGGCCCACCGGGAACGAGGACCCGCUCCAGACUCCUACGGGAGGCGGCAGUAGGGAAUCUUCCGCAAUGGGGGAAAGCCUGACGGGGCAACGCCGCGUGAGUGAUGAAGUUCUUCGGAUCGUAAAACUCUGUUAUUAGGGAAGAACAAAUGUGUAAGUAACUAUGCACGUCUUGACGGUACCUAAUCAGAAAGCCACGGCUAACUACGUG
rnacentral:rRNA from 1 species